rnacentral:tRNA from 1 species
GCCUGGGUGGCUCAGUGGUUGAGCAUCUGUCUUCAGCUCAGGUCGUGAUCCUGAGGUCCUGGGAUCAAGUCCUAGGUCAGGCU